rnacentral:rRNA from 1 species
UCCACGCCGUAAACGAUGGAUACUAGUUGUUGGUUGUACAUUGGUAUGAUCAGUGAUUAAGCGAAAGCAAUAAGUAUCCCACCUGGGGAGUACGGUCGCAAGAUUGAAACUCAAAGGAAUUGACGGGGGCCCGCACAAGCGGUGGAGCAUGUGGUUUAAUUCGAUGAUACGCGAGGAACCUUACCAGGGCUUAAAUGUAAGUUGCAUAGUUUAGAGAUAGACUUUUCUUCGGA